rnacentral:rRNA from 1 species
CUUCCGUAGGUGAACCUGCGGAAGGAUCAUUACAGUAUUCUUUUGCCAGCGCUUAACUGCGCGGCGAAAAACCUUACACACAGUGUCUUUUUGAUACAGAACUCUUGCUUUGGUUUGGCCUAGAGAUAGGUUGGGCCAGAGGUUUAACAAAACACAAUUUAAUUAUUUUUACAGUUAGUCAAAUUUUGAAUUAAUCUUCAAAACUUUCAACAACGGAUCUCUUGGUUCUCGCAUCGAUGAAGAACGCAGCGAAAUGCGAUAAGUAAUAUGAAUUGCAGAUUUUCGUGAAUCAUCGAAUCUUUGAACGCACAUUGCGCCCUCUGGUAUUCCAGAGGGCAUGCCUGUUUGAGCGUCAUUUCUCUCUCAAACCCCCGGGUUUGGUAUUGAGUGAUACUCUUAGUCGGACUAGGCGUUUGCUUGAAAAGUAUUGGCAUGGGUAGUACUAGAUAGUGCUGUCGACCUCUCAAUGUAUUAGGUUUAUCCAACUCGUUGAAUGGUGUGGCGGGAUAUUUCUGGGAUUGUUGGCCCGUCCUUACAACAACCAAACAAGUUUGACCUCAAAUCAGGUAGGAAUACCCGCUGAACUUUAAGCAUAUCACUACUCGGAGGA